ensembl:rRNA 5S_rRNA 5S ribosomal RNA
GUCUACCACCAUACCACCAUGAACGCACCCAAUCUCAUCUUGAUCUCAGAAGCUAAACAGGGUCGGGCCUGGUUAGUACUUGGAUGGGAGAAAACUGUCUUCAUUCACA